GUUGUUAUGGCAUUGCCGACGGAUAAGGCUCCUGGACCGGACGGAUUCACCACUGAUUUCUUCAAAAAGUGUUGGGCCACGAUCAAGGGGGACCUUAUGAGGGCCAUUCACCAAUUUUAUGGGCUCAGGGCGAAUCGACUACACCUGCUUAACUCAGCACACAUCACCCUCCUGCCAAAAUCUGAAUCCGCUUUCAAGGUGAAGGAUUUCCGGCCUAUAAGUCUCAUGCACUCUGUUUCUAAAAUCAUCUGUAAGGCCCUGGCCAUCAGACUUGCCCCACACCUACAAGAAAUCAUUCCCCACUCGCAGAGUGCUUUCAUUAAAAAGAUGAACAUCCAA
rnacentral:rRNA from 1 species